AACGGGGGGGGCAAGCGUUCUUCGUAUUUACUGGGCGUAAAGGGUCCGUAGGCUGGCGUGAGCACUUAGCACGACACUUCACGAUCGCUCGUAUUUUGUGCUUUAGUUGCAAAUGUCCUAGAAUCCACUGGAGGUUUUUAGUAUCUGCGAAGGAGGGGUGAAAUCUGUUGAUAGCGUUAGACACUAUCGAGGGCGAAGGCAAAUUACCACUUUGGAUAGACGCUGAGGGACGAAAGCGUGGGGAGCGAACGGG
rnacentral:rRNA from 1 species